rnacentral:tRNA from 1 species
GAGGGUAUAGCUCAAGUUGUAGAGCAUGGGCUUAGCGUGCACAGGGUCCUGGGUUCAAUCCCUGAUACCUCCA